rnacentral:rRNA from 1 species
AACGAACGCUGGCGGCAUGCCUAACACAUGCAAGUCGAACGAGACCUUCGGGUCUAGUGGCGCACGGGUGCGUAACGCGUGGGAACCUGCCCUUAGGUUCGGAAUAACUCCCCGAAAGGGGUGCUAAUACCGGAUAAUGUCUUCGGACCAAAGAUUUUUCGCCUUUGGAUGGGCCCGCGUUGGAUUAGCUUGUUGGUAGGGUAAAAGCCUACCAAGGCGACGAUCCAUAGCUGGUCUGAGAGGAUGCUCAGCCACACUGGGACUGAGACACGGCCCAGACUCCUACGGGAGGCAGCAGUGGGGAAUAUUGGACAGUGGGCGAAAGCCUGAUCCAGCAAUGCCGCGUGAGUGAUGAAGGCCUUAGGGUUGUAAGGCUCUUUUACCCGGGAUGAUAAUGACAGUACCGGGAGAAUAAGCUCCGGCUAACUCCGUG